rnacentral:rRNA from 1 species
AGUGAACGCUGGCGGUAGGCCUAACACAUGCAAGUCGAACGGCAGCACAGUAAGAGCUUGCUCUUACGGGUGGCGAGUGGCGGACGGGUGAGGAAUACAUCGGAAUCUACUUUUUCGUGGGGGAUAACGUAGGGAAACUUACGCUAAUACCGCAUACGACCUACGGGUGAAAGCAGGGGAUCUUCGGACCUUGCGCGAUUGAAUGAGCCGAUGUCGGAUUAGCUAGUUGGCGGGGUAAAGGCCCACCAAGGCGACGAUGCGUAGCUGGCCUGAGAGGAUGAUCAGCCACACUGGAACUGAGACACGGUCCAGACUCCUACGGGAGGCAGCAGUGGGGAAUAUUGGACAAUGGGCGCAAGCCUGAUCCAGCCAUACCGCGUGGGUGAAGAAGGCCUUCGGGUUGUAAAGCCCUUUUGUUGGGAAAGAAAAGCAGCAGGUUAAUACCCCGCUGUUCUGACGGUACCCAAAGAAUAAGCACCGGCUAACUUCGUG